rfam:Colletotrichum gloeosporioides Nara gc5 unplaced genomic scaffold scaffold631, whole genome shotgun sequence.
ACAUACGACCAUACCCAUUUGGAAAACUCGGGAUCCUCCCGUUCGCUCUCCCAUAGAUAAGCCAAUGAGGGCUGGAGUAGUAGUCGGGUCGGUGACGACCGGCGAAUGCCCGGUGUUGUAUGUC